GACGGAGGAUGCAAGUGUUAUCCGGAAUGAUUGGGCGUAAAGCGCGCGCAGGCGGCCUCCUAAGUCCGAUGUGAAAGCCCACGGCUCAACCGUGGAGGGUCAUUGGAAACUGGGGGACUUGAGUGCAGGAGAGAAGAGUGGAAUCCACGUGUAGCAGUGAAAUGCGUAGAGAUGUGGAGGAACACCGAUGGCGAAGGCAGCCCCCUGGGAUAACACUGACGCUCAGGCACGAAAGCGUGGGGAGCAAACAGG
rnacentral:rRNA from 1 species